rnacentral:ncRNA from 1 species
GACUUAAUUAGAUUGAGCCUUGGUAUGGAAACCUGCUAAGUGAUAACUUCCAAAUUCAGAGAAACCCUGGGAUUAAAAAUGGGCAAUCCUGAGCCAAAUCUUUAUGUUAAGAAAACAAAGGAUAGGUGCAGAGACUCGAUGGAAGCUGUUCUAACAAACGGAAUUGACGUUGACUACGUUGCGUUGGUAGUUGGAAUCCCUCUAUCUAAAUUACAGAAAGGAUGACCCUAUAUGCGUAUAUAUACAUACUGACAUAUCAAACGAUUAAUCACAACUCGAAUCUGGAAUCCAUAUUAUUAACUAUAUAUUAUAGUUAUUAUUAUAUAUAUAUAUAUUUUUAUAUUUUCUUUAUAUUUAUAUUUUCAUAAAGAUAUAUUAAUAAAGAUAUAUUUUUUUAUAAAUUUAUAUAUUAAUUAAGAGUUAUUUUAAAUAUAUUCCAGUCGAAGUUGAAGGAAGAAUCGAAUAUUCAGUGAUCAAAUCAUUCAUUCCGGAGUCGGAUAGAUCUUUUGAAAAAAAAAAAUGAUUAAUCGGACGAGAAUAAAGAGAGAGUCCUGUUCUACGUGUCAAUACCGACAGCAAUGAAAUUUAUAGUAUUAGGAAAAUCCGUCGACUUUAGAAAUCGUGA